GGGGAUGUAGCUCAAACGGUAGAGCGCUCGCUUUGCAUGCCAGAGGUAAGAGGUUCGAUACCCCGCAUCUCCA
rfam:Citrus clementina cultivar Clemenules unplaced genomic scaffold scaffold_9, whole genome shotgun sequence.